UACGGGGGGAGCAAGCGUUGUUCGGAUUUACUGGGCGUAAAGCGCACGUAGGCGGCUUUCUAAGUCAGGGGUGAAAUCCUGGAGCUCAACUCCAGAACUGCCCUUGAUACUGGAGAGCUUGAGUUCGGGAGAGGUGAGUGGAACUGCGAGUGUAGAGGUGAAAUUCGUAGAUAUUCGCAAGAACACCAGUGGCGAAGGCGGCUCACUGGCCCGAUACUGACGCUGAGGUGCGAAAGCGUGGGGAGCAAACAGG
rnacentral:rRNA from 1 species